ACCAAGGAGUCUAACAUGUGCGCGAGCCGCGGGGCAGUACGAAACCCGUAAGGCGAAAUGAAGGUGAACGCCGGCGCGGUCCGGCGGAGGUUGGAUCCCGUCCCGUCGGGGCGGGCGCACUACCGGCCGAUCUUCUCCGCCCUGUCGGCGAGGUCGAGCGAGAGCGUGCAAGUCGGGACCCGAAAGAUGGUGAACUAUGCCUGAGGAGGUUGAAGCCAGAGGAAACUCUGGUGGAGGACCGUAGCGAUUCUGACGUGAAAAUCGAUCGUCAUGGAGCUC
rnacentral:ncRNA from 1 species